CAGUCGCCGCGGGAAUACGUAGGUGGCAAGCGUUGUCCGGAUUUAUUGGGCGUAAAGCGAGCGCAGGCGGUCAAUUAAGUCUGAUGUGAAAGCCCCCGGCUCAACCGGGGAGGGUCAUUGGAAACUGGUUGACUUGAGUGCAGAAGAGGAGAGUGGAAUUCCAUGUGUAGCGGUGAAAUGCGUAGAGAUGUGGAGGAACACCAGUGGCGAAGGCGACUCUCUGGUCUGUAACUGACGCUGAGGAGCGAAAGCGUGGGGAGCGAACAGGAUUAGAUACCCCAGUAGUCCCUGUCUCUUAUAC
rnacentral:rRNA from 1 species